GCCAGCCCGUGUGCAAGGGGAGCAGAGAGAAGGCUCAUUCCAAUCCUGGAGAGGGGGAAGACACAGCGGUCCCCUUCCAAGGAGCUGGGACUACAGGCACCAUGAUGGAUCCUGGGAAUGAUGAUAAUGAACGCAAUAGAUACAGCCUCUAUUCUUAGACAUCUUGCAUGUAUCAGGGAAGACAGGCACCAAGGCAUACUUACAACCAAAGCAUUCCACGACCAUGUGAUCCAGGAGAAUUCCAGGGUCAAGAGCCAGGGUAUUGGAAGCCAACCUGUCUACAGGUGACCAACACUGAACUUACUUUGGGAAACACUGUUCUAGGGUAAGAGGUCUCAUGUAUUUUUGGUGGGGAGAUCUUUUCAUGACUGAAAGACUCAAAAGGCCAUUUUUAUCCUCUGCCGGAUAAACUAAACAGGCCUCAAGAAUGUGACCUCCCACGCUCCUCCAUGAACAGCUCUCUCCCUGCGUCCCAGCAACCAAAGACACUUGUUGAUUUGGGAAAAACCCAGAGGAAGGAUUCUGUCUGGAUUUUCUGGUACCACUGACGCAUUUUCACCCAGGCACAUUCAUCUGGUUCAAGACUGAAUCUUUCCCUUUUUCAUGAAACAGAUUCUCCCCCUCUUUUAAGCCUCUGUGGGCUCCAGAAUGAGUUGAACCGCUGUAUCUUCUCAUCACAGCGUUUCCCUCUUUGGACAUGGGCUGAGACACACAGAUUUCACGACUUCCUCUUUGGAGAAGGCAUGAAAGGACCUGCAGCCACGGCCCCAUACGUUUCAAGAGAGGCAAGGCUUUCACCCUCCGUGUCUUUCACAGCCAUCCGCCCACAGCCUCUUAACUUCCUGACAUUAAACAAAAACGAAACCGAGGUUUCCCUAAUUGGGGAUCAUCAUCAAGAAUCUGUCAUGGGGUCUCUUAGAAAUUAAUUCAACUCGAUUGUUCUUCAGACCUCCGCUAAGGAGCCGGCGUGUUACUCUCGACACCAACUUGUCCCAUCUUCAUCCUAUAUUAGCUCCCUAACAGGGUUGCACGAUCAGCUCCUAGGCUGCAAAUUAGAAAAAUGGGCGAUGAUUCCAGCAGCUACGCCUCGGCACUCUCACGCCGGAUUACUGUGAUGGUCUCCUUGCAAGGCUUCCGGAUCUUUCUAUGUGGGUUGAAAUUGGUUCCAACUGUAACUUCCUGUUGAUCUCCCACCCUGAAUUCCCUCAUUGAUGCAACAUUUUGUUAAAAAAGAACUUCACCGAAUUACCCAUUUCAUGGAAAUUGCAAUAGGGUAUUGACUUGUAUAGUUAAUGAAGCUUUCAAAAAAGCACUCCUGUAGCCAUCAUCUAAAUGCCCCUCUGGCCACCAAAACUGUGCAUGUAAUUCACUGUAGUGAGGAUUCCUGAGUCUCCCUAAGGGAGAUCCAGUAGGAUCAGUUCUGGGUGGGAUCCGUCAGCAAACACAACCUAUUGCCCGCCUCCUUCUGGUUUCCAGUCCCGGGGGGUAAUUGAUGUCUUAGUGCACACAGAGCCGGACCAUGGAGCUAAGUAGAUAUGGGUUUCCAACUCAUCCCGGCCACUUCCCAGGGGCAUGUCCAGGGGCAAGUUAGUAACUCUCUUGAACCUCAGUUUCCUCAUCUGCAGAGUGUGGAUCAUCACAAACCUACCUUCUGGGGUUGCUAGGGGAUUAAAGGAGAUAAGGAGCAUAGCAGGGCUGGCCCUGUGCCUGCCUGGAGUGGGCACCAAGCUGACUUCGCUGGGGCUCUCCCGGCCCCACAUACCUGCAAUGGUUUUGCCUUUGGCUCGAUGUCUGAAGCCUUUGCAUUUCUGAAGGGAGUGAUGUAAAUCAAGCCAUGCUUAUGAUUAAAAACAUCCAA
rnacentral:lncRNA from 1 species